GAGUUUGAUCUUGGCUCAGGGUGGUAGGAACAUUGAGGCUGGGGCCGCCUGAGGCUUUGGCAUGAGGCUGGGGGGCUGAGGAGAGAUGUGAAACAGUUACACCGGGGGUGAAGGUGUCAGAGAGGCCUCUCAGUUUCAGCUUGAGUCGGCAGGCAGGCCAUGGUGGUGGCUGGUGGGGAAGUCACCACUGCCCCAGGCCAGAGAGGAUUGCCUCUGAGCCAGGGAUGUCCAGGGCUGCCUCUGAGAGAGGUACAGGUGGGAGUGGACACGGGCAGGUCAACCACUGUCCCUGCCCCAUGACCCCGACACAGGUCAGAUGACCCAGAUGUGGGGGCCAGGCAGGAGCAGUUGAGGGGCCAGGCUAUCAGCUGAGUCGAAAGUUGGGGA
rnacentral:rRNA from 1 species